AUACGUAGGGGGCGAGCGUUGUCCGGAUUUACUGGGCGUAAAGGGUGAGUAGGCGGUUAUGUAUGUCAGGUGUAAAAGGCGUAGGCUUAACUUACGUUAGCACUUGAAACUGCAUAACUUGAGUGCAGGAGAGGUAAGUGGAAUUCCUAGUGUAGCGGUGAAAUGCGUAGAUAUUAGGAGGAACACCAGUGGCGAAGGCGACUUAAUGGACUGUAACUGACGCUGAGUCACGAAAGCGUGGGUAGCAAACAGGAUUAGAUACCCUGGUAGUCCACGCUGUAAACGAUGAGUGCUAGGUGUUGGGUAGCGAUAUUCAGUGCCGAAGUAAACACAAUAAGCACUCCGCCUGGGGAGUACGGUCGCAAGACUGAAACUCAAAUGAAUUGGCGGG
rnacentral:rRNA from 1 species